GACGAACGCUGGCGGCGUGCUUAACACAUGCAAGUCGAACGGAGUGGCGAACGGGGGAGUAACACGUGGGUGACCUGCCCUGCACUUCGGGAUAAGCCUGGGAAACUGGGUCUAAUACCGGAUAGUGUGGGAUGGGGCCGCGGCCGAUCAGCUUGUUGGUGGGGUAAUUGCCUCCCAAGGCGGCGAAGGGGAGCCGGCCGGUGAGGGUGGACGGCCACAUUGGGACUGAGAGACGGGCCCGACUCCUACGGGAGGCAGCAGUGGGGAAGAUUGCACGAUGGGCGGAAGCCUGAUGCAGCGACGCCGCGGGGGGGAUGACGGCCUUCGGGUUUUAAACUCCUUUCACCAUCGACGCGGUAGAUGGAGAAGAAGCACCGGCUAACUACGUGCCAGCAGCCGCGGUAAUUC
rnacentral:rRNA from 1 species